GACGAACCGUGCGAACGUUGUUCGGAAUCACUGGGCUUAAAGGGCGCGUAGGCGGGCUAUCAAGUCCGGGGUGAAAUCCUCCAGCUCAACUGGAGAACUGCCUCGGAUACUGAUGGUCUCGAGGAGGAUAGGGGCACACGGAACUGUGGGUGGAGCGGUGAAAUGCGUUGAUAUCCAUAGGAACUCCGGUGGCGAAAGCGGUGUGCUGGAUCCUUUCUGACGCUGAGGCGCGAAAGCGUGGGGAGCGAACAGG
rnacentral:rRNA from 1 species